AGGUGUAGCUCAAGUGGUAGAGCGCAUGCCCAACACACAAGAGGUCCUGGGUUCAAUCCCCAGUACCU
rnacentral:tRNA from 1 species